rnacentral:rRNA from 2 species
AAUGGGGAAACCCAGUGUGACUCGUCACACUAUCAUUAACUGAAUCCAUAGGUUAAUGAGGCGAACCGGGGGAACUGAAACAUCUAAGUACCCCGAGGAAAAGAAAUCAACCGAGAUUCCCCCAGUAGCGGCGAGCGAACGGGGAGGAGCCCAGAGCCUGAAUCAGCAUGUGUGUUAGUGGAAGCGUCUGGAAAGGCGCGCGAUACAGGGUGACAGCCCCGUACACAAAAGCGCAUGUGCUGUGAGCUCGAUGAGUAGGGCGGGACACGUGGUAUCCUGUCUGAAUAUGGGGGGACCAUCCUCCAAGGCUAAAUACUCCUGACUGACCGAUAGUGAACCAGUACCGUGAGGGAAAGGCGAAAAGAACCCCGGCGAGGGGAGUGAAAAAGAACCUGAAACCGUGUACGUACAAGCAGUGGGAGCACAGGUUUACCUGUGUGACUGCGUACCUUUUGUAUAAUGGGUCAGCGACUUAUAUUCUGUAGCAAGGUUAACCGAAUAGGGGAGCCGGAGGGAAACCGAGUCUUAAUUGGGCGUUAAGUUGCAGGGUAUAGACCCGAAACCCGGUGAUCUAGCCAUGGGCAGGUUGAAGGUUGGGUAACACUAACUGGAGGACCGAACCGACUAAUGUUGAAAAAUUAGCGGAUGACCUGUGGCUGGGGGUGAAAGGCCAAUCAAACCGGGAGAUAGCUGGUUCUCCCCGAAAGCUAUUUAGGUAGCGCCUCGUGAAUUCAUCUCCGGGGGUAGAGCACUGUUUCGGCUAGGGGGCCAUCCCGGCUUACCAACCCGAUGCAAACUGCGAAUACCGGAGAAUGUUAUCACGGGAGACACACGGCGGGUGCUAACGUCCGUCGUGAAGAGGGAAACAACCCAGACCGCCAGCUAAGGUCCCAAAGUCAUGGUUAAGUGGGAAACGAUGUGGGAAGGCCCAGACAGCCAGGAUGUUGGCUUAGAAGCAGCCAUCAUUUAAAGAAAGCGUAAUAGCUCACUGGUCGAGUCGGCCUGCGCGGAAGAUGUAACGGGGCUAAACCAUG